rnacentral:rRNA from 1 species
AACGAACGCUGGCGGCAGGCUUAACACAUGCAAGUCGAACGAUGUAGCAAUACAUAGUGGCGCACGGGUGAGUAACGCGUGGGAAUAUACCUUAUAGUGGGGAAUAACUUUGGGAAACUAAAGCUAAUACCGCAUACGCCCGAGAGGGGAAAGAUUUAUGGCUAUAAGAUUAGCCCGCGUGAGAUUAGGUAGUUGGUGGGGUAAUGGCCUACAAAGCCUACGAUCUCUAGCUGGUCUGAGAGGAUGAUCAGCCACACUGGAACUGGGACACGGUCCAGACUCCUACGGGAGGCAGCAGUGGGGAAUAUUGGGCAAUGGAGGAAACUCUGACCCAGCCAUGCCGCGUGAAUGAUGAAGGCCUUAGGGUUGUAAAGUUCUUUCGCCGAUGAAGAUAAUGACGGUAGUCGGAGAAGAAGCCCCGGCUAACUUCGUGCCAGCAGCCGCAGUAA